CCUACGGGAGGCAGCAGUGGGGAAUAUUGCACAAUGGGGGCAACCCUGAUGCAGCAACGCCGCGUGAAGGAAGAAGGCUUUCGGAUUGUAAACUACUGUUCUUAGUGAAGAAUAAUGACGGUAGCUAAGGAGCAAGCCACGGCUAACUACGUGCCAGCAGCCGCGGUAAUACGGAGGUGGCAAGCGUUGUCCGGAAGUACUGGGUGUAAAGGGAGCGCAGGCGGGAAGCCAAGUCAGCUGUGAAAGCUACGGGCUUAACGUGUAGACUGCAGUUGAAACUGGUAUUCUUGCGUGAAGUAGAGGUUGGCGGAAUUCCGAGUGUAGCGGUGAAAUGCGGAGAUAUCAGGAGGAACACCGGUGGCGAAGGCGGCCAACUGGGCGUUAACUGACGCUGAGGCUCGAAAGUGUGGGGAGCAAACAGGAUUAGAUACCCCAGUAGUC
rnacentral:rRNA from 1 species